AGUGAACGCUGGCGGUAGGCCUAACACAUGCAAGUCGAACGGCAGCACAGUAAGAGCUUGCUCUUACGGGUGGCGAGUGGCGGACGGGUGAGGAAUACAUCGGAAUCUACUUUUUCGUGGGGGAUAACGUAGGGAAACUUACGCUAAUACCGCAUACGACCUACGGGUGAAAGCAGGGGAUCUUCGGACCUUGCGCGAUUGAAUGAGCCGAUGUCGGAUUAGCUAGUUGGCGGGGUAAAGGCCCACCAAGGCGACGAUCCGUAGCUGGUCUGAGAGGAUGAUUCGCCAACAUUGAACUGAGACACGGUCCAGACUCCUACGGGAGGCAGCAGUGGGGAAUAUUGGACAAUGGGCGCAAGCCUGAUCCAGCCAUACCGCGUGGGUGAAGAAGGCCUUCGGGUUGUAAAGCCCUUUUGUUGGGAAAGAAAAGCAGCAGGUUAAUACCCCGCUGUUCUGACGGUACCCAAAGAAUAAGCACCGGCUAACUUCGUG
rnacentral:rRNA from 1 species